CCCGGUCUCUACUAAUAAUAUAAAAGUUAGUCAUGACGGGUGCCUGUAAUCCCAGCUACUUGGAAGGCUGAGACAGGAGAAUUUCUUGAAUCCAGAAGGCAGAGGUUGCAGUGAGCCAAGAUCAUGCCAAUGCGCUCCAGCCUGGGCGACAGAGUGAAACUCCAAGUGAAUAAAUGAAUUGUGAGUGCAUGAAAAGCCAGGGGAAGGGGCCUGAGCAUCUCCUUCAGGGGUACCUGCCAAGGCGGAGUCCUGGAACCCCUGCCCAGAACUGCUCGUGGAGGGCAUCUGCGUUAGUCCCCUGCUCCCCAGCGCUGCCAGCCCCUGCCUCAGAUCUCUUACCCAACCGCAUCGCUUCCACUUGGCAAGGUAGAUGGCCCAUGUACUGGGAGUACUACAUGGUAGGAUCCCUGGGAGGGUGCCCCUGGGUGUCCUCCUGGAUCUCUUUCUGGUGUGAAAUAGGGCGCUCUCUUGGCUUCUUCAGUUGAACACCUGUGUGACCAGCUCUGUCAUCAGAUAUGUUUUGUAAU
rnacentral:lncRNA from 10 species